GACGAACGCUGGCGGCGUGCUUAACACAUGCAAGUCGAACGGUAAGGCCCUUCGGGGUACACGAGUGGCGAACGGGUGAGUAACACGUGGGUGAUCUGCCCUGCACUUCGGGAUAAGCCUGGGAAACUGGGUCUAAUACCGGAUAGGACCACUGCCUGCAUGGGUGGUGUGGAAAGCUUUUGCGGUGUGGGAUGGGCCCGCGGCCUAUCAGCUUGUUGGUGGGGUGAUGGCCUACCAAGGCGUCGACGGGUAGCCGGCCUGAGAGGGCGACCGGCCACACUGGGACUGAGAUACGGCCCAGAAUCCUACGGGAGGCAGCAGUGGGGAAUAUUGCACAAUGGGCGCAAGCCUGAUGCAGCGACGCCGCGUGAGGGAUGACGGCCUUCGGGUUGUAAACCUCUUUCAGCACCGACGAAGCGCAAGUGACGGUAGGUGCAGAAGAAGGACCGGCCAACUACGUGCCAGCAGCCGCCGUAA
rnacentral:rRNA from 1 species